GCUUCUGUAUGCUUGAAUUAUACAGCAUUUCCUGUUUCAAAGCAGUUUCACACAAUCUCAUUUAACACUUUUAAAGUCAUAGUAGUUGAACCGAGUAUAUCGCACCCCUGUUACGGCUUUUUCUUGAUUAUAGGACAAAAUGAAAAGAACUUUUAUGAUCUGGCUCCAAUUAUACUUUCAAGGUUCAAGUCUUCCCAUCCGGUGUCUGUGAACUCAAGAGAAGCCUUUCAUUCUAGACAUAGUAGUUAUUUUCUAAAUCAUCUUUAAACUUAUUUGCUGGAAUAUUGUGGGGGUAAAGUGCAAACUUCCCCUUCACCAUCUGAAGGUUUGCUAAAAAUCAACAGGCAGAAGGCGAAUUAACAGGAGAAAUGGCAUGCCAAUUUGUUUGAUCACAGUUUUACAUGAAGAAUGAAGACCCAAAGACACAUGAGAAAUUGUCCAUUUUUAUGCAACACCAGACCAGGCGAUGCUCUAAGACAGGUACAACAAAGUAUGGACAUGCGUGUAGAAAUACGAG
rnacentral:lncRNA from 10 species